rnacentral:tRNA from 1 species
UCCCUGGAGGAUUAGCGGUUGGGCCUAAGCGCUCUCACUGCCAGGACCUGGGUUCUAUUCCCGGCCAGGGAA